UUAGCUACAGGCUUAACACAUGCAAGUCGAGGGGCAGCAUGGUCUUAGCUUGCUAAGGCCGAUGGCGACCGGCGCACGGGUGAGUAACACGUAUCCAACCUGCCGUCUACUCUUGGACAGCCUUCUGAAAGGAAGAUUAAUACAAGAUGGCAUCAUGAGUCCACAUGUUCACAUGAUUAAAGGUAUUCCGGUAGACGAUGGGGAUGCGUUCCAUUAGAUAGUAGGCGGGGUAACGGCCCACCUAGUCUUCGAUGGAUAGGGGUUCUGAGAGGAAGGUCCCCCACAUUGGAACUGAGACACGGUCCAAACUCCUACGGGAGGCAGCAGUGAGGAAUAUUGGUCAAUGGGCGAGAGCCUGAACCAGCCAAGUAGCGUGAAGGAUGACUGCCCUAUGGGUUGUAAACUUCUUUUAUAAAGGAAUAAAGUCGGGUAUGCAUACCCGUUUGCAUGUACUUUAUGAAUAAGGAUCGGCUAACUCCGUGCCAGCAGCCGCGGUAAUACGGAGGAUCCGAGCGUUAUCCGGAUUUAUUGGGUUUAAAGGGAGCGUAGAUGGAUGUUUAAGUCAGUUGUGAAAGUUUGCGGCUCAACCGUAAAAUUGCAGUUGAUACUGGAUAUCUUGAGUGCAGUUGAGGCAGGCGGAAUUCGUGGUGUAGCGGUGAAAUGCUUAGAUAUCACGAAGAACUCCGAUUGCGAAGGCAGCCUGCUAAGCUGCAACUGACAUUGAGGCUCGAAAGUGUGGGUAUCAAACAGGAUUAGAUACCCUGGUAGUCCACACGGUAAACGAUGAAUACUCGCUGUUUGCGAUAUACAGCAAGCGGCCAAGCGAAAGCGUUAAGUAUUCCACCUGGGGAGUACGCCGGCAACGGUGAAACUCAAAGGAAUUGACGGGGGCCCGCACAAGCGGAGGAACAUGUGGUUUAAUUCGAUGAUACGCGAGGAACCUUACCCGGGCUUAAAUUGCAGAUGAAUUACGGUGAAAGCCGUAAGCCGCAAGGCAUCUGUGAAGGUGCUGCAUGGUUGUCGUCAGCUCGUGCCGUGAGGUGUCGGCUUAAGUGCCAUAACGAGCGCAACCCUUGUUGUCAGUUACUAACAGGUCAUGCUGAGGACUCUGACAAGACUGCCAUCGUAAGAUGUGAGGAAGGUGGGGAUGACGUCAAAUCAGCACGGCCCUUACGUCCGGGGCUACACACGUGUUACAAUGGGGGGUACAGAGGGCCGCUACCACGCGAGUGGAUGCCAAUCCCAAAAACCUCUCUCAGUUCGGACUGGAGUCUGCAACCCGACUCCACGAAGCUGGAUUCGCUAGUAAUCGCGCAUCAGCCACGGCGCGGUGAAUACGUUCCCGGGCCUUGUACACACCGCCCGUCAAGCCAUGGGAGCCGGGGGUACCUGAAGUGCGUAACCGCGAGGAGCGCCCUAGGGUAAAACUGGUGACUGGGGCUAA
rnacentral:rRNA from 1 species